UACGGAAGGUCCGGGCGUUAUCCGGAUUUAUUGGGUUUAAAGGGAGCGUAGGCCGGAGGCUAAGCGUGUUGUGAAAUGUAGUCGCUCAACGGGUGCACUGCAGCGCGAACUGGCUUUCUUGAGUGCGCGGUAAGCCGGCGGAAUUCGUUGUGUAGCGGUGAAAUGCUUAGAUAUGACGAAGACCUCCGAUUGCGAAGGCAGCUGGCUGUAGCGUAACUGACGCUGAUGCUCGAAAGCGUGGGUAU
rnacentral:rRNA from 1 species